AGCAGCCCGCAGUUGAAGCGCCGGGGCAAACCGCCGACUCUCCUCAGCCUCUCAAAAAAAAAAGGACUCGCCUCAGACGACGCCGCCAAGUCCGGCGAGCAUGGGCGCCGCGGCGGCCGACCUCGAGGCGCGUCAGCUCCGCAUCCUCGCCCGGGUCGCGGACCUUGAGCUGGCUGCGCAGCAGCGCCGCCUCGGGGCGCUCUCCAUCGCCGCUGCGCCGCCCUCGGAGGACGGCGCGGGGGCCACCGAGGCGCGGCUCUCGGCCCUCCUGGCCGCGCGCGGCGUGCGGGACUUCGCGUUCCGGCGCGUGCCCGCGGACUACUACGAUCGUCCCCUCGAGGAGCGCCGCGGCCUCCUCCGCGCCGACUCGGUCGCUCAGCUCUGCAAGAGCAUCGUCAUGAUAAUGGCUGCUAUCUGUUUUGUAUGUCAUACAACUAUUAGAAGAUGAGGCUCAUUCUUAGCGACAUGGUUGUGCUUCAAAGAAGACAAGGAUAGGCCAAUAUGGCUGUGCCUUUACAGGAUUCUUUUAGAUGAGUCCCACUUAAAUAUUUGUGCAAAAUAUAAUUGAUCUUUUAAAUUGCAUUGACCUUAUUUGAAUUCUACACUAUUUGAGAAUCGGAGAUGCAAUCUGAAAUAUAGUGGUUAGUUCACUGCCUAUCUGCUUCAAGUAGUAUAGGAAUGUUGAGGGGAUGAGUGCUAUUUUAUCUUGGGAGCUAUACAUAAUGAUUUACUUCCUAGGCAUAGAAGUAUAGAACUACAGUUAAUGGUCAUUUCUCAAAAUCUAACAAUAAUUUUUCUUGAACAUUAGUUGUGACGAAUUUAUCUUUUUCUUUAUUAGGUGAACACACAAGCCGCUGCAGAUGUAGUUGACUGCAGCAAUCCAAAGAAUUCAAAAUACUAUGUCGUUGUUGUUCAGUAUAUGGCACGGCUCAACGCUGAAAACAUCAAGAACUUCCUGUACGAACUAAAUGAGAAGCAAAUACCAAAAAAGAGAUUUAACAUGAGGUUGGCACCAGAAGAGGAGUCACACAAGCUCACUGGGUUUGUGCACAACGCUGUCACAUGCAUCGGGAUGGAAACAGACAUACCGGUUAUCAUUGAUGAAGCUAUCACCAAGUUGGAUGAGGAUUUCUUCUGGCUGGGUGGUGGUGAAGUUGACCUCAAGCUCGGGAUGCGAACCUCACAAUUCCUAAGUGCCUUCAGUCCAUUCGUUGUGAAAUGCAGCUGAUGGUGAUCCGCAACGAAAAGAGAAGCUUCUGCUCCAUUUGGUUCUAGGGAACUUCCAUGGACGCAUCACAUGUAGAAGCACACCGCACACCACAAUAGAUUUUGCUUGGAUCUGGGGUUGGGAUGUCUGUCUUUUUUGGAGCAGGCUAUCCCCUUCCAAUUGCUCGCCUCGCAUUGUUUACAGCUGACUGUUGGUAAGAUUGAUGUAGUGGAGGGGACAUUCUUGGGAAGGUUGAGAUAUUUGCCACAACUAGGCAUAUAAUAAUACUCUUUGCAGUUUGUGCCAAAAAAAAAUCACAUUGGACACCCGUGUGGUUACAUGGUUUAGUCAUGGUAAUUUAUCUGAAAGAUGUACUGACAGUAAUUUUCCACUUUUAUUUCAUCAUAUUAAGCAUAAAA